rnacentral:rRNA from 1 species
GAUGAACGCUGGCGGCGUGCCUUAUGCAUGCAAGUCGAACGGUCCUUCCGCUUUCGGGCGGAAGGAUAGUGGCGAACGGGUGAGUAACACGUAUGUAACCUAUCCGAAUGUGGGGGAUAACUCGCCGAAAGGCGGACUAAUACCGCAUGUGGUCGCCGGUGAGAAACCGGUGGACAAAAGGCCCGACUUGUCGGGCCGCGUUCGGAGGGGCGUGCGGCCGAUUAGCUUGUUGGUGGGGUAACGCUCACCAAGGCGACGAUCGGUAGCUGGUCUGAGAGGACGGCCAGCCACACGGGGACUGAGACACGGCCCCGACUCCUACGGGAGGCAGCAGCAAGGAAUCUUGCGCAAUGGGCGAAAGCCUGACGCAGCAACGCCGCGUGGGGAUGAAGGCCUUC